rnacentral:lncRNA from 10 species
CGCAUCUUCAGCCACCUGCAGUUUCUCUGAUUCUUCCCUGGUCUCCUCUCUGCAGUGUCGCCAGAACACCUUCGCACACUCUAUUCUUUGUGGCCCUUCUGACUUUCUCUUUGCCGUGUGACAGGGGAGUCCUCCCUAACCAGCAGACAGUGAAGGUGGAGUCCACGUUUCUCGGCCUCCACGCAUAGCGAGUCUCAGACCCCGCAAGGCUGCAGACAGUGCUGUGGAAUACCUGUAACUUCUUUCCUUGGAACCAAGAUUUAGCACAUGAGAAGAAUCUGGAAGAAGCUGAGCCCACAAGGGUCCCAGGAGGGCAUUCUACCUGCCCACUGACCGUCUCAGCAUGCUACACCCUCGAGGGAACUCAGGUUUGAGCCCCAGCCGAGGUCCAAGGGAGCAGGUGGACAGGAGGGCAGGGAGCUGGAAGAAUACUCAAGAGACAGCAGGUAGAUGAGACAUGGCUUUAUUCAGCAGCUCACUCACACUGUCGGUGCUGCAUUUAUGCACCUCACAAACAAUAGUGGCUCCAAG